AGGAGAAGCCCGGAGAUGGGUACUGAGACACGGACCCUAGGCCCUAUGGGGCGCAGCUAGGCGAGAAAACUUUGCAAUGUGCGAAAGCACGACUAAGGUUAAUACCGAGUGGUUUCUGCUAAAGAAACCUUUUGUCUGUCCUAGAAACUACUAACGAAUAAGGGGUGGGCUAGUUCUGGUGUCCAGCCGCCGCG
rnacentral:rRNA from 1 species